rnacentral:lncRNA from 1 species
UUUUUCAAAACAGUUACAGACUCGUCGGAAAGAUUGAUCAUUCUGAUCCCUUUGUAUUGACCGGAAUAUACUAAGUUUUUUUUCUCUCAGUGCUAUGCCAUUAAUACACGAAUUGACUGAAAUUGUUUUCGUGAUUUGUUUUCUUUCCACGUUUAUAAUAGUAAUACACUGCUUCUUUAAACCACCAGAUGAUACCGCUAAUAUAUGGCCCUUACUUAUAUACAGUAUAUCUUGUACGUUAUACGGCAUCUUCACCUCAAAGUUUCUUAAUUCGGUAUCACUGAAUACUCUAACUGCACGAUCACAAUAGUAAGUAAAAGCCAUUCUACCAUCUGGUAUUAUACAACAUCCGUAGAUGAACGUUCCUUGAGUUGCUAUUGUCUUGUGCAUCUCCAGUGUUAUAUUUUCAAUGGAUUUUGUUUGAACGGUUUGAACUUUUUCGUGCUAAGAACGAUGUCACAUGAUUUAGUUUCAAUCUGUACUUCUCCAAAACUUUUGAUAUUGGACAUUAUAUCUUGAAUAGCAAUGUUGGUUCUAUAUUCUAGAUGCCAUUGCUUCAAUUGCUCGUCUUCCACUACGGAUUGCAGAAAUUUAUCAUUUAUAUUAAUGUCUUGUUCGAUUUGCUUAAGCGAGAGAAAAAUCUGAAGGUCUGAGGCGUGUUGUUUAAUGCUGACAAUGUUUUGCUGGUAUUUGGUUAUUUCUACUUCUCUCUGUUCUAGUGAUGACAAUAACUGACCAAUUUGUGAGUUCUCUGUUUCUUCAACAGCAUUAAGUUUUUUUUAUCAAAUCUUCUUGUAAUUUGUCUAGAUGGUGGUUGAUUGUUGUUCGGGUCUUUUGAAUAUCAUUUCCGAUUUGUUUUCUUUUUUCUUUCAAAUUCAACAGAUUUUUCUGCUGAUAUUGAAAUUUUCUGCUAAUUCAAUCAAAGUUCCUUCAAUUUCGGAGAAGGCAUUUGAUGUUUUUACAUUUUGAAUGACGUCUUCAUAUUUGUCGAUAUGCCG